UGUUACUUUUAAUAAAUAGAUUUUGGAAUAGUAGUAUUAAUGAAAUUUAACGGAUUUGGCGGCAAGAUAGCCCCUUAGAGGAACCUGCCCUGUAAACGAUGAACCACGAGAACUUUACUUUUUUUUGUAAACAGUUUGUAUAUCGCUGUUGUCAGUUGAAUUCUUGAGAAUAUUUUCUAACAUGAUAAAGUCAUUGACUUCAAGUAAAGGUGCAGCUUAUAAAAAAGAUAGAGGUGGGUUACAUUUAAAAGAAUAAUACGGAUUAGAUAAACGAAAAAGUCUUUUAAGGUGGAUUUAACAGUAAAACUUAAGAAAGUUUGGUGAGAGCUCUAUCUUGU
rnacentral:rRNA from 1 species